CAAGCGGUGGAGCAUGUGGUUUAAUUCGAUGCAACGCGAAGAACCUUACCUACUCUUGACAUCCAGCGAACUUAGCAGAGAUGCUUUGGUGCCUUCGGGAACGCUGAGACAGGUGCUGCAUGGCUGUCGUCAGCUCGUGUUGUGAAAUGUUGGGUUAAGUCCCGCAACGAGCGCAACCCUUAUCCUUUGUUGCCAGCGAUACGGUCGGGGACUCAAAGGAGACUGCCGGUGAUAAACCGGAGGAAGGUGGGGAUGACGUCAAGUCAUCAUGGCCCCUACGAGUAGGGCUACACACGUGCUACAAUGGCGCAUACAAAGAGAAGCGACCUCGCGAGAGCAAGCGGACCUCAGAAAGUGCGUCGUAGUCCGGAUCGGAGUCUGCAACUCGACUCCGUGAAGUCGGAAUCGCUAGUAAUCGUGGAUCAGAAUGCCACGGUGAAUACGUUCCCGGGCCUUGUACACACC
rnacentral:rRNA from 1 species